GACGAACGCUGGCGGCGUGCCUAAUACAUGCAAGUUGAGCGCUGAAGGUUGGUACUUGUACCAACUGGAUGAGCAGCGAACGGGUGAGUAACGCGUGGGGAAUCUGCCUUUGAGCGGGGGACAACAUUUGGAAACGAAUGCUAAUACCGCAUAAAAACUUUAAACACAAGUUUUAAGUUUGAAGGAUGCAAUUGCAUCACUCAAAGAUGAUCCCGCGUUGUAUUAGCUAGUUGGUGAGGUAAAGGCUCACCAAGGCGAUGAUACAUAGCCGACCUGAGAGGGUGAUCGGCCACAUUGGGACUGAGACACGGCCCAAACUCCUACGGGAGGCAGCAGUAGGGAAUCUUCGGCAAUGGACGAAAGUCUGACCGAGCAACGCCGCGUGAGUGAAGAAGGGUUUCGGAUCGUAAAACUCUGUUGGUAGAGAAGAACGUUGGUGAGAGUGGAAAGCUCAUCAAGUGACGGUAACUACCCAGAAAGGGACGGCUAACUACGUG
rnacentral:rRNA from 1 species